rnacentral:misc_RNA from 1 species
GAAAUGCGAUAAGUAAUGUGAAUUGCAGAAUUCAGUGAAUCAUCGAAUCUUUGAACGCAUAUUGCGCCCGCCAGUAUUCUGGCGGGCAUGCCUGUCCGAGCGUCAUUUCAACCAUCAAGCCCCCGGGCUUGUGUUGGGGACCUGCGGCUGCCCGCAGGCCCUGAAAACCAGUGGCGGGCUCGCUGUCACACCGAGCGUAGUAGCAAUCACCUCGCUCAGGGCGUGCUGCGGGUUCCGGCCGUUAAACAGCCUUACAAAACCCAAGGUUGACCUCGGAUCAGGUAGGAAGACCCGCUGAACUUAAGC